UGGGGAAUCGUUCCGCAAUGGACGAAAGUCUGACGGAGCAACGCCGCGUGAGUGAAGAAGGUUUUCGGAUCGUAAAACUCUGUCUUUUGGGGCGAACGUGAGUAUGGUGAACAAUCAUAGUCAGUGACGGUACCAAAGGAGGAAGCCACGGCUAACUACGUGCCAGCAGCCGCGGUAAUACGUAGGUGGCAAGCGUUGUCCGGAAUUAUUGGGCGUAAAGAGCGCGUAGGCGGGAUAGUCAGUCUGUUGUAAAGUGCGGGGCUCAACCCCGUGAUGGCAAUGGAAACAGCUAUUCUUGAGUGCAGGAGAGGAAAGUGGAAUUCCCAGUGUAGCGGUGAAAUGCGUAGAUAUUGGGAGGAACACCAGUGGCGAAGGCGACUUUCUGGACUGUGUCUGACGCUGAGGCGCGAAAGCCAGGGGAGCGAACGGGAUUAGAUACCCCCGGUAGUCCUGGCCGUAAACGAUGGGUACUAGGUGUGGGAGGUAUCGACCCCCUUUCCGUGCCGGAGUUAACGCAAUAAGUACCCCGCCUGGGGAGUACGGUCGCAAGACUGAAACUCAAAGGAAUUGAC
rnacentral:rRNA from 1 species